rnacentral:lncRNA from 1 species
CCAGGGAAGACUUCACCCGGACCCCUACGGGAGCUGGGUUCCGUCCACGACGCCAAGGAAGACUUUCGGCACCGAUUAGGAAGACAACGACAUCUCCGAAAUAAUGUGGGGCCCAGACGGCCAAGCUCGGGCUUGUGGCCACGCACGACGAGAAAGGCGAGCUAACGCAUCGACGACCGGGCGCCCCCUGACGAUGUCUACAUCAGACAAGUCAAACGACAAGAAAGGUUCGGCAGAUGGCAAUAUUAGUGCAACGCGCAGACGAGGUAACACAAAAUGCUCUUUUUAUUCCAUUUCCGAUAUACACACUACAAAGCCAGGAAGGCCAAGGAAAGAAGGGCAAAACGAUAAAAAGAAAGUAACUACAUGACAAGACAGAAAGACAAAAAGAGCUCUAAGAAGGCCCUGCUCCCUCCGACCUAGAGUUAUCUAUUUCGUUCCUCAACCAGGACUGCCUCAGAUUCUCAAUCUCCUCUUCUAGCUCUUCCCUCUUCCGCAGCGCGUCCUGGAGCGCCCGACGAAGUUGCUGGCUCUCAGCCUCCACCUCUCGACGCCUCUUCCUCAAAACUUCAGACUCCGCCUCCGCGUCCGCGAUGGCCCGCCGCUCGAGUGCCAGUUGGAUCUUCACUUGCUGCAGCUCGGCUGUCUUUUCCCUGAGAGAGACAGAAAUCCCCUCCACGGUGCCUCUUAGGGCUUGGAGCUCUUCAGAAUCUUGGGCGGAAGU